GACGAACGCUGGCGGCAGGCCUAACACAUGCAAGUCGAGCGAGCGGCGGACGGGUGAGUAAUGUCUGGGAAACUGCCUGAUGGAGGGGGAUAACUACUGGAACCGGUCGCUAAUACCGCAUACCAUCAGAUGUUCCCAGAUGGGAUUCGCUAGUAGGUGGGGUAACGGCUCACCUAGGCGAAGCUCCCUAGCUGGUCUGAGAGGAUGACCAGCCAAACUGGAACUGAGACACGGGCCAGACUCCUAUGGGAGGCAGCAGUGGGGAAUAUUGCACAAUGGGAGCAAGCCUGAUGCAGCCAUGCCGCGUGUGUGAAGAAGGCCUUCGGGUUGUAAAGCACUUUCAGCGGGGAGGCGUUACCCGCAGAAGAAGCACCGGCUAACUCCGUGCCAGCAGCCGCGGUAAAC
rnacentral:rRNA from 1 species